CCCCGCGCCGCCGCACCGGCCCGGGACGGCGCGGGGUCCGGCCAGCAGCCCCCAGCGGCGGGCAGCGCCGCCGACGCUCAGGAAGGCGGCGCGCAGGAGCCCGGCGACUCCCGCGGCGGCCAUGGCCGGAGGUCGGAAUAUCUUGCAAGGACUUUAGCGAAGCAAGUCUUACCAGCUAGAGACAUUUCCCAGCUUCUUUUACAGCUAGAAAAUGACAGCAACCAGGGUGAUCACAUGAGACGCAAACACAGAAGCUGAAUAUUGGAGAUGGCAGCCUGCCAGAACCAGUCUCCCAGCCUGGGGUCCUGCGUGGCUCUGGGAAGCAGGGUACCAUCCCAGCCCACCUUGGAGGUGCUUCGUGAGACAGAAGUUAACAUUUAUGCUACUGAAGGCCAGGCACGUGAUAAGGUCAGAAUGACAGUAAGAAGCAGCGUCAACUUGACUUGGCCUGAGGAAUUCUUCAUUCCAUCCAUUCAGGGGGAGCGAGGUCUUGGACAAUACAGCCCUGAGGAGAACAUCAGGACUCAGGUCCAGGGAUGAGCCAUGGAACUCACGGACAAGUAUUGCUGUGAACUCCUGGGAUGUUUAAGAGCUUUGAGGAAGCCAGAGGAAGUUCACACUGACGGAGAGUGCCUGGCUCCUCUAAGGGGACACAGGGCCACUUACACAACUCUCAAAUUGCUAGAGUUUAAGGGACAUUUUAGAAGUCUUUUUCUACCUUUAGAAAAGAUGUAUUGUCUUUCGUCGUAUUAAGAUUUUAUAUAUUGUCUUUCCUUCAUCUCUUCUGCAGAAUCUAAGCAAGUAAAGUAUGGCAUUAACAAAAAUGUAUUAUGAUUUUCUAUGACUAAUAUGUAAAUAUUUACAUUCCUCCUUCCUGUCUUUCUCUUUGUUACUUUUUAUUUCUUUGCUCACUUUUCAGAAUAACUUUCCAGAGUGCGUUUCGGAACUGAUUGUAAGUUUUUUUUGUCUUCCUAUUUUCAUUGUUCUCCUUUGCAGUCUAGUUUGUCAUGUAGACUCAGGCACCCAAAUCAAAAGGAAACACACUUACAAGUAUAUAUGGGAUAAUCUCCGAGCUGAUGUUAUCGUUGUUUUAUAAAAACCACAUUUAGAGAUUGUCGGGAUGCAGUUUAGUGGGUUAGAGUCUCACUGAGAAAAUUGUUCCUAUUCCUAUAAAGGGCAGACCUGAAGGAUUUUGUGAUUAAAAUGGAGAAAGAAAUUUUGGCAAAAGAACUUCAUGAGCCUGGUAGUACAGAAGUUAAAUGAUACAAAGACCAAAGGACACAAUGAAAUCUUCAUCUCUAGAAGACCACAGCAGGCAUAAGAAUUCUGCAAGAAGUUAUUCCCACAUGAAAUCAGGUCCCUUUUUGCUUUAAGGUUCUGUAAUUUUGUGAAAUGAACUAGGGGUGGAAGGGGAGGUGGGCAAGGGGUGGGGGA